rnacentral:rRNA from 1 species
UACGUAGGUGGCAAGCGUUGUCCGGAAUUACUGGGCGUAAAGCGCGCGCAGGUGGUCUUUCAAGUCAGUGGUGAAAGCCCGGAGCUCAACUCCGGAAAUGCCAUUGAAACUGUGAGACUUGAGGACGAGAGAGGUGAGUGGAAUUCCCAGUGUAGAGGUGAAAUUCGUAGAUAUUGGGAAGAACACCGGUGGCGAAGGCGGCUCACUGGCUCGUAUCUGACGCUCAGGCGCGACAGCGUGGGGAUCAAACAGG